CCGGCACGGGUGAGUAACACGUAUCCAACCUGCCGUCUACUCUUGGCCAGCCUUCUGAAAGGAAGAUUAAUCCAGGGUGGGAUCAUGAGUUCACAUGUCCGCAUGAUUAAAGGUAUUUUCCGGUAGACGAUGGGGAUGCGUUCCAUUAGAUAGUAGGCGGGGUAACGGCCCACCUAGUCAACGAUGGAUAGGGGUUCUGAGAGGAAGGUCCCCCACAUUGGAACUGAGACACGGUCCAA
rnacentral:rRNA from 1 species